ACUCGAGUGGCGAACGGGUGAGUAAUACGUGGGUGAUCUGCCUUGCACUUCGGGAUAAGCCUGGGAAACUGGGUCUAAUACCGGAUAGGACCAUGCUUUAGUGUGUGUGGUGGAAAGUUUUUCGGUGCAAGAUGAGCCCGCGGCCUAUCAGCUUGUUGGUGGGGUAAUGGCCUACCAAGGCGACGACGGGUAGCCGGCCUGAGAGGGUGUACGGCCACAUUGGGACUGAGAUACGGCCCAG
rnacentral:rRNA from 1 species